CCCAUUUUUUCAAUUCCAAAACUAAUAAUUCUUCCAAACUUUUUAAAAAAUAAGUUUGCAAAAUUUCUCGUGAAAGCUUAAAGCCCAACAAAUUCCGACCCAUUAACAAAUCAACCAAACUAAUUCCUAGAAACAAAAAAGGGUAAAUCUCAGUAGCUAAUCGACACAACAUCAUGGAUUCAUGGCGGUGAAUCUCAUUUUUUUCUCAGCAAUUUUUCGUUCUUGGCAACUUAAUUUUACAAUGAGAUUAGAGGAGAUUUUGGUCAUUUCUGAAAUAAAUAUUUUAUCUAGAUUUAAAAAUGUUGGAAUCCCACCUUUCCC
rnacentral:lncRNA from 1 species